AUACCAAAUUAUUAUCUAUCUAAUAUUGCCUAAUAUACCAAAUUACUUCUCUCUGUUAUACAGUAUAGUGCCUUUCACAGCUAUCUAAUCCUGCCUACUAUACCAAAUUCUAUCUAUCUAAUAUUGCCUAAUAUACCAAAUUAUUUCUAUCUAUAAUCUGUUAUAGUGCCUUUCACAUCUAUCUAAUCCUGCCUAAUAUACCAAAUUCUAUCUACAGUCUAUCAAUCAUACACUGCCUUUAUGUCUUUUACAGUUUAAUAACAUUGUUAUGUGUACAGAAUCCUGUGAAAUUUAUACUUGCCUGUACUAAUCACCACCCUACAGCACCACCACUAAUGAAUACAAUUAGCUGACCUCGAAAUGUCUGUCUUCCUUACCAGAAAAAACUCAGAAAUGCCUUUCAUACUUCUGUAUCGAUUAUAAAGUGCCAUCCAUAUCUAUAUGUCUGUUAUUUGUUUGAAGGGUUAUAAUUGUCACAAGUGAA